GAUCCUGGCUCAGGAUGAACGCUAGCGGCAGGCUUAACACAUGCAAGUCGAGGGGGCAGCAUUCGGGUAGCAAUACCUGAGAUGGCGACCGGCGCACGGGUGCGUAACGCGUAUGCAACCUACCCAUAACAGGGGUCAUAACACUGAGAAAUUGGUACUAAUUCCCCAUAACAUUCGAAGAGGCAUCUUUUACGGGUUGAAAACUCCGGUGGUUAUGGAUGGGCAUGCGUUGUAUUAGCUGGUUGG
rnacentral:rRNA from 1 species